GCAACAGGUAGGAAUUUAGGCAGAGCUGGUGAUCCUUGGACAAUAGCACUUCCUAGGUAAUUCGUCUUAGAAAGUUAAAGAAGCUGCUUGACCACAAAGUAUGAACUUCUGGAGGGCGGAGCCCGUGGCAGCUGACAGGGAAUAUUGUCUGUUGAGAAAGGAAAUGAAUUCCAGGGAUACCAGGGACAACAACAUUACCAGAGGCAGAAAUGACACGAGAUACAAAAGAACGUAUUCAAAAAUUUCACAAAACAGAAAUGGAAAAUUAUCUUAAAAUAUAUUGAAAUAUCAACGAAUAACAUCUCAAAUGUCCAGGGAUAUGUAAAGCAGCAACUCUGGUCGGAAGCAAGGAAUCGAGGCGUUGGGUGUGUUUAAACUUGGCUAGGCAGGGAGAAGAAACCCUGAUACAAACUCCUUCAGAAUCGUUGACUCCCGGUCCUUUCUAGUGUAUUUUUUGAGCAGAACAACGUGCAGAGAUAAAUGUUUAAAAUGCAUAUGUUUCUUAGGGAAACACUUUUAAAGCCAACAGAGGGGAAUUUUUUUUUUAAGUUAAAAUGGAAGAAGUCAGUGGGUUUAACAGAUGUGAACAACUGAGUUUCCUUUGGGGGAGAGGUAAUGAAAAGAGCCGGAGUACUUUAGGAAUCACUUUGGAGAGGAUAUUGUAGUGGGGGAAAGGAAAGUAAAAACUUAGGAAGCAGAGUAGUACCUUUAAAGUCGUCAAUACUUUAUAGACCAUCAACUGGGCUAUGGACAACAGAAGCUGUGCCUGGGAAUAACUCACACUGAAGGUUAACUUGAAUAUAAAUUUAGAACAGAUCUUAAAUACAAAUGAUGAUGUUCAUUAUAAAAUGUUAUUCCUCAAAGAGUCAUUUAAUUGAAGUAACAUUGUAUUUGCAUACCAGAGCACUGAUGUUUUUCAAAAUGUGUUUAGGAUAAGAAAAUUCACUUGAAAAGCUGGAGUAUGUGUGUAUUUUGUGCCAUCAUGGAUUUUAUCAUAAGCAGUGUUCAAGAAAACAAAUUACCAGCGAAUUCCCACCCUAUGAAUAAAAGUUACCUUGUCAACGUAUCAAUAGAUGAACAUUUUGUUACUUCUUGGAAUACAUGUCAUGGUAGCUUUCAUGAUGAAGUUUAUAGAAGUGUCCGUUACAUGUCUUCGUGUCUCCAGCUACAACUGAGUGUCUCUGAUGAUUAAACAACAACCCGAGUUUUCUCUCUGCAGAAGACUCCUAAAAAAGGGUUGCAAUUAGUUACCAACUCAGAAAGAUGCAAUACAAAUAGGAAAUAACCGCAAUUUAUGAUUUUAUUUGUUUAUCUAAAAUCUGUCUUCCUCCCUAGACAGUAAGCUCUCUGAAGUUAAGAAGCAUAGUUGUUUUGUUCACUACUGUAUACCCAGCACCUAAUAGUACUUGGCACAUAAGUACUCAGGAACUAUUUGUCAAAUGCAAGAACGUAUGCCCCGAAAGUAGGAGUCAGGAAAACCAGAAAAAAUGCCUUUAAGUAUUACAGAAAUGCCACAGGCCUCCACUUAAAUUGAAAAACAAGCUAACACCUCUUGAUAAAAAUGUGGAUUGAGAUCAAUAAGCAGCUUCUCCACUCCUUCUGGAAUCUCCACCUGGUUCAGCCUGCCUGCCUCCGCCAUGUCCAUCAGGGUGACCCAGAAGUCCUAUAAGGUGUCCACCUUUGGCCUAGGCUUUCAGCAGCCACCUCUAUAUGAGUGGGUCCAGUGUCUGCACCAGCUCCUCUAACUUCUCUCCCUCGUGGGGAGCAGAAGCUUCUGGGGUGGCCUGGGCAGAGGCUAUGGUGGGGCCAGCAGCAUGGGAGGUAUCACCACCAUCACGGUCAACCAGAGCCUGCUGAGCCCCCUUAACCCUGAGGUGGACUCCAACAUCCAGGCUGUCCACACCCAGGAGGAGGAGCAGAUCAAGACCCUCAAGUUUGCCUCCUUCAUAGACAAAGUAUGGUUCCUGGAGCAGCAGAACAAGAUGCUGGAGACCAAGUGGAGCCUUCUGCAGCAGCGAAGAUGGCUGGAAGCAGCGUGGACAACAUGUUCGGGAACUGUAUCAACAACCUUCGGCAGCAGCUGGAGCCAGGAGAAGUUGAAGCUGGAAGCGGAGCUUGGCAACAUGCAGGGGCUGGUGUAGGACUUCAGGAACAAGUAUGAGGAUGAGAUCCAUAAGUGUACAGAGAUGGAGAAUGAAUUUGUCCUCAUCAAGAAGGAUGUAGAUGAAACUUACAUGAACAAGGUAGAGCUGGAGUCUCAUCUGGAAGGGCCGACUGUAUGAAGUGGCGAUCCAGGAGCUGCAGUCCCAAAUCUCCAACAUGUCUGUGGUGCUAUCCGUGGACAACAGCUGCUCCCUGGACAUGGACAGCAUCGUUGUUGAGGUCAAGACGCAGCACGAGGAGGUUGCCAACCGCAGUUGGGCUGAGGCUGAGAGCACGUACCAGAUCAAGUAUUUGGAGCUACAGAUGCUGGCUAGGAGGCACGGGGAUGACCUGCGGCAUACAAAGACUGAGAUCUCCAAGAUGAACCAGAAUAUCAGCCAGCUCCGGGCUGAGAUUGAGGGCCUCAAAGGCCAGAGGGCUUCCCUGGAGGCCGCUGUCACAGAUGCUGAGCAGCGUGGGGAGCUGGCCAUUAAGGAUGUCAAUGCUAAACUGUCCGAGCUGGAGGCCACACUGCAGCGCAUGAGUACCAGGAGCUGAGGAACGUCAACUUGGCCCUGGACAUGGAGAUCGCCACCUACAGAAAGCUGCUGGAGGGCUAGGAGAGCUGGCUGGAGUCUGGGAUGCAGAACAUAGGUAUCCAUACGAAGACAACCAGCGGCUAUGCAGGUGGUCUGAACUUGGCCUAUGUGGGCCUCACAAGCCCUGGCCUUAGCUAUGGCCUGGGCUCCUGCUUUGGCUCUAGCACAGGCUCCAGCUCCUUCAGCUGCACCAGCUCCACCAGGGCCGUGGUUGUGAAGAAGAUAGAGACCUGCAAUGGGAAGCUGGUGUCCGAGUCCUCUGACUUCCUGCCCAAGUGAACAACUGUGGCAGCCCCUCCUAGUCUGUUCCUCCUGUGGCUGCCACAGACUCCGGGAGGGAGGCUGCUGUGUGGGGGAGCACAGAGAACAGGAGACCCCCCUGAGGCUCAGCCCACCUGCAGGGGAGUUUACUGCCUGGUGAUCCAACACACACACACACACACACACACACACACACACACACACACACACACAAAAUUGUAGAUUGAGUCGUUAUUGCUUCUAGUUUACUGAGUUCCUUCUAUUAAUAUAAAUUCUUGAUUUGGUAUCAUGCUCAUUCUGGGGUGAAAAGUUUAGGGAAUAAAUCAGACAUACGUUUCAGGGAAAAAACCCCUGCGUAUUUUUUUUUUUUUUUUUUUUUGAGACGGAGUCUUGCUCUGUCACCCA